UAGGGAAUCUUCGGCAAUGGGGGGAACCCUGACCGAGCAACGCCGCGUGAGUGAAGAAGGUUUUCGGAUCGUAAAGCUCUGUUGUUAAGGAAGAACGAGUGUGAGAAUGGAAAGUUCAUGCUGUGACGGUACUUAACCAGAAAGGGACGGCUAACUACGUGCCAGCAGCCGCGGUAAUACGUAGGUCCCGAGCGUUGUCCGGAUUUAUUGGGCGUAAAGCGAGCGCAGGCGGUUAGAAAAGUCUGAAGUGAAAGGCAGUGGCUCAACCAUUGUAGGCUUUGGAAACUGUUUAACUUGAGUGCAGAAGGGGAGGGUGGAAUUCCAUGUGUAGCGGUGAAAUGCGUAGAUAUAUGGAGGAACACCGGUGGCGAAAGCGGCUCUCUGGUCUGUAACUGACGCUGAUGUGCGAAAGCGUGGGGAUCAAACAGG
rnacentral:rRNA from 1 species